CAAAAAGCUAUGUUUUUUUUUCAUUCCAAGCAACAAAGGAUGAAAUGACAAAGAACAUACUGGCCCUUUGUGUACGACUAUAGAGGAGAGGAAGCAUCUCCAAAAGUAUGAGAUGUUUCCUUGAAGAGUCUUUUCAUGUUACUUCCAAACAUGAAAGCUGAGAGCCUGGUGCAGGUACAGACCAAACGGGUUAAGUGAGCAGUGAGAACAUGAAAAUGGGCAAAUUCUUCAGGGAUAGAAUGACCUGGAAAAAAAACCACACAACAACCAACACAGAAACAAAUGAAAAAACAACCCUAUCAGAAGACACUUCUAGUCUGUGAAGUGAGCUGGCAGUCCAGUUAGAUUUUCCAGCAGAGGACUGUAUUUCAAUUUCUUACUGUCAAAUUCAGCUAGAGACAAGAAAGGUAUAGAAGCAUCAGGUCUCAGCUGGAGGAGAUGGAUAUCAGCAAGACUACAGAGCACUGCCAUUGGCGAAGCUGAAUGAGAAACUCAUCAUCGCGUGCUCUGAGCCAUCAGGAAGUGAACCUCAGAUUGGGAUCUGAGCGUCUUGAUUGGUACAAGGACCUGUGAAAAACUGUAUCUUGAAGAUGCAGAAAGGUCUGACUAUGGGUUUCCACUGCAGGACUAGCAACUAACUGGCAUUUGUGUGCUGGUGGUCCCUGCCCUGUGGACAUACAGUUAAAAAGCUCCAGAGGAGAGUUGUUGUUCCUUGUGCAAAGAGAAGACCUUUCCUUUGGCUCAGAGCUGGCAUCACUGCAUCAGUUGAGUGGUUACCUGGAUUGGAAGAUGGUAAAAGCAAUUGCUGCUGGGCUUUUUUUGUACAGCAGAAAGAGGUCGCAAUCUUCCCUGUGGACUGUGGUGGUUAUUCCCCCAAACUUAUGCCUUUUGCCAGCUUGGUGAUAGAACUUCGGGGUUUCAGUGGAGCAGGUGUCAAAGCACACAGCCAAGGAAUGGAGCUGAAGGCAUAAUUCUUAGUCUGAGACGUUAACUAUGGGCACAGUUGUAAUCUGAGAAAAUCAUGAAUGUCACCAAUGCAUUCUGGUAAAGUGAUAGCUAUAAAAUGAAAGAUUUAAAGGAAGCAAUCAUAAUGGUUAACAGCAGUAUGAAAAAGCUUAAACAUGUUCAUAAAUUUCAAUAACUGCUGAGCAAUAUACUGGAUUCAUCUAGGAGAGAUUUAAUUUGAAAAAUGCUAAAUAGGAGGAACAGACUGGAAACAGACAUUCCUCCUGAAGAUGAAGCCUUUUGGUGAGAAAUUUACAUUGCACUUCAGCUGAAGCGAUACUAAAUGUGAGUACAAUGUGUUAGAAAAGGAAUUAUAAAAUAAAUUGUGGAAGGAGGUUUUUAAAUUUGCACGUUAAGGAAAAAAAGCUUUAUUUUGUAUUCUCACUUCAGAUGAUGAUCGUGUCUUGAUGUAUAAGUGCCCAUGCAUGCUGAAAUAAAUGAAAAUAACAAA
ensembl:lncRNA